ACGCAUUCAUUUUCAAACUUGUGGUUUCCAAAUGGCAGCAACCCUCGUUUCUCUCAGGCUUAACUCAAUUAAGGCAUGUGCUGCAGUUGCCAGCGGAGUGGUGGGGGCUCUCAAGGGUGUGCGAUGAGGGUGCCACCACAGCCAUGCAGCACUGCCAGAGGGCAGUGGAAACGUGGAGGAGGAAAAUUAAGCUGUGAACUGGAAUUCCAUCAGGCUGUCUGCUGUGAAGCCCUGUGGCUUUAGCAAACAGGCAGCAGUGGUCAGAAAUGACACUCAAAAGAAAGUUACAAGUAAUUUGUAGAGGACUUCCAGCUCCUGUGAAAGAAGAUGCUUUUGUUCUGCGACAAUCUUCACAUCUAACGAGCCUAUGCUGUCUCCAGGCCUGAGAACUUUGUGUUUCUGUUGCCUUCUGUCUCUCAGUGAUGGUAUAAUGACAAACCAGUUCUUCUCCUUCCUGGUUGAUGAGUAGGGUUUUUUGGUUUUGUUUUUUGAAUUGUUAAAGAAUGCCUAGCUUUUAGCUAUUAAAUGUAUUUGGUGAUUUUUA